AGGGUUUGAUUAUGGCUCAGAACGUACGCUGGCGGCACGCCUUAUACAUGCAAGUCGAACGCAGUAGCAAUACUGAGUGGCAAACGGGUGAGUAUAAUGUGGGAAUCUGCCUUUUGGUUUGGAAUAACACGGGGAAACUUGUGCUAAUACCGAAUAAGCCCUUACGGGGAAAGUUUUAACGCCGAAAGAUGAGCCUGCACUUGAUUAGCUAGUUGGUAAGGUAAAAGCUUACCAAGGCAACGAUCAAUAGCUGUUCUUAGAGGAAGACCAGCCACAUUGGGACUGAGACACGGCCCAGACUCCUACGGGAGGCAGCAGUGGGGAAUCUUGCACAAUGGGGGAAACCCUGAUGCAGCGAUGCCGCGUGAGUGAAGAAGGCCCUUGGGUUGUAAAACUCUUUCGUCGGGGAAGAAAAUGACUGUACCCGAAUAAGAAGGUCCGGCUAACUUCGUGCCAGCCGCCGCGGUAAUAC
rnacentral:rRNA from 1 species